GGCCCCGUAGUUCAACUGGAUAGAAUAUCAGAUUUCGGCUCUGAUGGUUGGAGGUUCGAACCCUCCCGGGGUCACAA
rnacentral:tRNA from 2 species